rnacentral:rRNA from 1 species
GUAGGUGGCAAGCGUUGUCCGGAAUUAUUGGGCGUAAAGCGCGCGCAGGCGGUUCUUUAAGUCUGAUGUGAAAGCCCACGGCUCAACCGUGGAGGGUCAUUGGAAACUGGAGAACUUGAGUACAGAAGAGGAAAGCGGAAUUCCACGUGUAGCGGUGAAAUGCGUAGAGAUGUGGAGGAACACCAGUGGCGAAGGCGGCUUUCUGGUCUGUAACUGACGCUGAGGCGCGAAAGCGUGGGGAGCAAACAGGAUUAGAUGCCCUGGUAGUCCACGCCGUAAACGAUGAGUGCUAAGUGUUAGGGGGGUUUCCGCCCCUUAGUGCUGCAGCUAACGCAUUAAGCACUCCGCCUGGGAGUACGGCCGCAAGGCUG